CAAUAGCGUAUAUUAAAGUUGUUGCAGUUAAAAAGCUCGUAGUUGAAUUUUUGCUUGCCGCCGAUGUCGGAACUUCCGUACGUUCGGCGGCGUGCAUCCUUGGGUGGAACCUGUGUGGCAUUAGGUUGUCGUGCAGGGGAUGCUCAUCGUUUACUGUGAAAAAAUUAGAGUGCUCAAAGCAGGCUUACGCCGUUGAAUAUAUUAGCAUGGAAUAAUAAGAUAGGACCUUGGUACUAUUUUGUUGGUUUGCGCACCGAGGUAAUGAUUAACAGGGACAGUUGGGGGUAUUCGUAUUCCAUUGUCAGAGGUGAAAUUCUUGGAUUUCUGGAAGACGAACUACUGCGAAAGCAUUUACCAAGGAUGUUUNCAUUAA
rnacentral:rRNA from 1 species